rnacentral:rRNA from 1 species
GAACCUUACCUGGGCUCGAAGCGCAGUGGAAUCCGGUGGAAACAUCGGCGCCCCUUAAAAGGCCGCUGCGGAGGUGCUGCAUGGCUGUCGUCAGCUCGUGUCGUGAGAUGUUGGGUUAAGUCCCGCAACGAGCGCAACCCUUAUCCCUAGUUGCCAUCGGGUCAAGCCGGGCACUCUAGUGAAACUGCCUCGGAUAACGAGGAGGAAGGUGGGGAUGACGUCAAGUCCUCAUGGCCUUUAUGUCCAGGGCUACACACGUGCUACAAUGGUCGGUACAAGCCGUCGCAAACCCGCGAGGGGGAGCUAAUCGGAAAAAGCCGGCCUCAGUUCGGAUUGGAGUCUGCAACUCGACUCCAUGAAGCUGGAAUCGCUAGUAAUCGCGGAUCAGAACGCCGCGGUGAAUACGUUCCCGGGCCUUGUCACACCGA